rnacentral:lncRNA from 1 species
AGGUCAGUACCAAAUCCACAAUAUUUUAGUUAAAUCAUAGAUAUAUGUACGCAGAUCUUAAAAAGAAGUACAAAAAUCAUGUUUCGAGACCAUGUUUUAGAAGAACGAAAUCUUGAAUUUUAAAUCUUGAAUCUGGUACUGAUGCAGAUACUGGACCAUGUGGAAGCUACCUAUGUUCGGAUGCACUGAUGCCACCCAAGUGUUGGCUGAGGUGGAAGAGGCGAAGAAGGCAUACCCACAGGCCUGGAUCCGUAUCAUUGGAUUCGACAACGUGCGUCAAGUGCAGUGCAUCAGUUUCAUUGCCUACAAGCCAGAAGGCUACUAAGUUUCAUAUUAGGACAACUUACCCUAUUGUCUGACUUUAGGGGCAGUUUGUUUGAAAUGUUACUUAGCUUCUUUUUUUUUCUUCUUCCCACAAAAAUUGUUUAUGUUUCCUACUUUCUAUUCGGUGUAUGUUUUUGGAUUCCUACCAAGUUAUGAGAACUAAUAAUAAUUAUGAUUUGGUGCUUUGUUUGUAAAUUUUGUUGUUUCACAUUCGUGUGGCGUAUAUGAGUUUCAUCUUGAUAAUAUCUGCAAAUCUUAAAUGCAAAUUAUGGUCCACACAUUCACCCUCAUCCCAACCACUUCUAGAAUAUGAAAGUUAUUCAAUCAUUCCUUCACUUCCCAAAAAGUUAUUGUGCUUCAUUUGUAUGGGCUGCCUUAUCUACUAUUGAAUUGUAUGGGCUGCAAAUUUGGCAAUAUCUGUUAUUGAAUAUCUCAAGCUUUUUCAUGGCCACAGUUGUAGAAACUGGAGACAUAAAGGAUAAGAUUUCAUUUUUGGGUGUAUGAUCAUCAUAUCACUUGCAAAUACUUAAGUCACAAUAGAAGUUUGGUUAAAGGUUCUCAUAUCAUUAUAUCUAUAGAAUACUUCCAACUUCAUGACAUCAACUCUUCCAAGAAAUUUGGCUGUAUUCUAACUAUUGUAACUUAUGUGAGGGUAUUUAUAUGACUGAAGCAUGUACCUUGUGUGGAAUCCUCCAACUUGUGUGUUACAUAACUAAUAGAUAUGUGAGACACAUCAAAAAUCUUCAACUCUUUAGAAACAGAAACCACCAAGAUUAAGGAUACUCUCAGAAAAAGAAAAAGAAACUCAAUCACCAGUCCCUAUUCCAAAUUUCAGAUAUAUACAAUACUGCAGGUUUUGAAAUUGUCAAAAAUUUGUGGCACCAAAAUCAAUCGAGAGUGACAGCACAAAACAAAACUAACUCUCAACCACCUUAUUUCAAAUAAAUGUGCAACAGCCACAUCGUUGCACAAUAAUAUUAACGAAAAACCAGAACUUUUCCCCUCUAAUAAAUAGCUAAUAUCUCCAAAAUCUUCUCUUCUUUUCUAGAUAUUCUAUAUACAUUGUUGAGCUGCCGACUUUAUAUACUUCUCAGUAAGGAAGAUUUUUAAGCCAUAGCAGCCAUGUGGGAGUUUUGGCAGUCAAAACCCUCUACUCUAUUUGGUGAUUGAGUUUGCCCAAGUCUUGCCAUUGAACACCUUCCUUUACAAAUUGUUGAUGGAGAAGAUGAAGCUGAAGUAGAUGUACUUGGUGAUGAUGAAAAACAGGAUUGUUUUUCAUUUGUAAAGCGAGCAUCAUGGAUUAAUGGAUUCAUAGCCCUACAAGGCGGUGAACCAGAGAAGAAAGGAGGGGAUGACGACAAAUCAGAUGUGUAUUGUGUUGCAGCUAUGCCAUCCUGUUAGACCAUGAAGAUCAUUUUAAGAAAUGGCAGGUUGAAUCAGUGGAAUGUUUUAUUAACUUUGUUCUUAAACAGUCAGCACAUUUUGAAAUAGAUCGACAAACGAUACAGCUAUGCAUGUACAUAAGUCACACAGGUAAAUUGACAGUUGAAUAUGAUCACUAGAGCAGUACAAAAAACAAAAACAAAAAAAUAUAGUCCAAAAUUAAUUAAACCAAUAUGCUAAAGAUAGCAUCAUAUCACUACAUAGGUCAUAUUGGUUAAGUGCAUCUCGCAAGCUUGCAUUUGCAGACUAUCAUUAGACUACACAGAAAAGAACAAAUAAUCAGCAAAUACAACUCUUCUACCUUCUGCAAUUGAUGCAAGCUAAAAAAAUGACUUGAACUGAACAUCUAUUGACCUUUCUAUUUUUCUAUUCGUCUGGCCUACUCAAGAAUAUGUGGCAUGGGAUUAAUCACUGUACACCCUAAGGCUCCUUUUAGAAUUAUGCUUCGUUAAGAAUAUCUACAAAACCAUAAUUGUGUUUCCAUAAGGCUCCUUUUAAAAAUAUUUUGCUAAGGCAAAUUUAGGAUUCUCAUAAGAGCUCCAUAUUAAGAAAGUUAAAAGGAUUAGAAAGUAAAAUAAUGUAUGGAUCGAUGAGGCCAGGCCUAGCUGGCUGAUAGAAUAUUGACAUGUAUUAAGGAAUGGGGAUAGACUGAUAGACAGAAAGACAGGGACGUACAUUGCAAUUAUUUGCCAAUUAUCAUUUGAUUGGACUCUCAACUACCUCAACUUUCAAUUUGUCUCAUGAAAACCCAUACUACCUACUCCUAUGGAUUGAAUAUUUUCUGUCCACUGAUUACCUUUACACCUUAAAAUCACUUAAGCAUCAAAGCUACUUCUUGCCUUAUGUAGCUUGUAAUUCUACACUCUCCGAUGAUGAGGAUGCUUUUCAUAUUAACUAUAUGCAAAAAGUCCAAGAUAUUUCUGAUUAUAAAGAUUAAUGCAAGAUGCAACACCAACCUACUAACACAAUGUGCAAGGUUUAUCAUGUAAACAGCCUUCAUGUAUACAUUGCUUUAGAUUCCGAAGCUUUAGCAAACAACAAAUGUUGACAUAAUUGUAUGCAGAAAAGCUAUAAAUGAUAAGUUUCAUCCCUGGGUAGUAAUGUCAAUUCAAAGAUUCAUCAUAGUCAAGACUAUUUCUACAUUGACCAUCAAUCUACUACGACCCCUUAUUCAAAAAUCUUUCCUUUUUGUGCACUUUGUUUUGACAACAUUCAUCCAUAAAGAAGAAAAACAAAGUAAACAAAAACAGAGUAAAGGAGCGAGUCCAUUAUCCACAGAGUUUUGAAGCCCUCGACGAUUUCUCGGUUACAAAAAAAAAAUUCUAAUGUGAAUAGAAACGUACCUCUUUGAGAAUGAGAUCAGUAAGUUCUGCUCCACUUUUUGAAACAAAGGCAUCAGCUUUAUUUCUUUUCCACCAUCAAAAACAAAAAAGACCCAUUAAAGAGAGGAUCAUCAACAUUAAUGGGUCAUUAAAAUCUUAAAAAAUUGGGAUUAACAAGGAUUAGAAAUAAUUACCUCAAGGGAAGGCAGUUCGAAUGGCUAAUGGUAUCCCCAAGACGACGAGGUUUGGGACAAAUGAGCGAACCCAUUGGAUUAGCGCCGGUCGUGAAUCGGCUACAACCCCAAUACUUCAGUCCGCACCAAGGCAACGGGAAACCCCAUCACCUCUUGAAGGUGGCCGGAAAAGGGAAAAGAAAAAGCUAUUCCUACGAUUUUGGCAAAUGCCUAUUUUGCUAAGAUGAAUAUACGUUUCGUUCCAUAUUUGUAGGUCUUAUAUUUACCUCCGUCCCGUUUUAGAUGAAUAGGGCCUCUACAAAACGCAUAUUGAUCUUACGUUAAUUCUUUCUUUUUGGUAAAAGCUUUGCCAAACUUUAAGGGUUCCUUUGGCAGGGUAUAUAAGAAUAAUGCAUAAUAUAGUGUAUUAAUAACGUUGAUAUUAGUUAUGAUUGCAUUAGUUAUGCUGAUAUUUUUCUUUGAAUACAUAAAUGUAUUUUUUUUUAUAAUUUAAAUUUUUAUUAUCAGGGAAAUAGUUAUGCCACAGUAGUUAUGCUGAUUUCUUAUCCAUUAUUUGAUUUGAUGUAUUAAAUUAUCACAAUUUUUAAAAGAAUUAUUUGUUUACAAAAAUACUUUCAUAACUAGUCCAUCACUUUAUUUUUUUAAAGGAAAUAUAUGUUGAGCAAUGUUUUUAUAUGAACAAGGUUUUAAAAAAAUUAUUUGAUUUGUCUACCUAUUGCCACGACCUAAAAACCGACCCGAUCGUGAUGGCGUCUAUCGUGAAACUAGGUCAGUCGACACAACUCCCGAAUCAACCAUUUUUCAAUAAAAGUUAUUUUUAUACCAUUUAUAAACCAAUAAUCUCAUAAUGAAAAUUUAAAAGAAAAGUACAGAAUAAUUGCACAAGCUCGACAUCGGGGUGUCACUAGUCAUGAGCAUCUAUCAAGGUCUAAAUACAACAAGAGUCUAAAAAUGUACUAGACACAAUAAUAAAAAUGAGAGGAAGGAACCAGUGUUGUGAACGUCGUGCAACCACCUUGCUAACUCUAAUGACUCCGCGUCUGAGCAAUCAACAUCAGCUACCGGGUUCUGAAAUACCUGAAUCUGCACACGAGGUGUAGGGAGUAAUGUGAGUACUCCAACCCAGUAAGUAAUAAGAGUAAAUAAAGACUGAGCAGUAGGAAACGAUGAAACCACAUUUAUGAUAAACUCAAUAAGUACAACAGGCUUUCAAAUCAGAAUACGAGUCAGCCGUCUCAUUUAAAAUCUAGCUUUUGGUAAAAUCAUUUAAAGAUACCUUCCAACAGUUUCAGUAGGGGUUCAAUACCAUUUAUAAUAAACGAGAUGAAAGCCAUAAUCGGCCCCUCGGGCAAAAUAUAGUUCGUAAACAGCCCCUCGGCAAAACAGGAAUCGUAAACACCUCAUAUCAUAAAAGUCUCAGUGGAAAUAACAAAGCCAAAAUCAGUGAUUAAGUACCGAAUAACUCGUAAAAACUCCAGCUUAAAUGAAAAUUUGUUUAAAAAUAUUUGUUCAACAUUUUUAACAGAGGCUCAGUAUAAAGAGGAGUGAAAAUAGCAAUUAUAUCAAACAAGCCCCUCGGGCAAAGCAUCACUCAUAUAUGUAUACAGCCCCUCGGGCAAGCCUCAGUCACUCGAAACUCAACUCUCAUCAGUCAGCGCUCACACUCAGCACUCACACUCAAUAAGUACCAUAUAGUAACUGCUGCGACGCGCAGCCCGAUCCAUAUAUCAUUGCGGCGUGCAGCCCGAUCCAUAUAUAUAGUUGAUUGCUCUCACUUGGGGUGUGCAGACUCCGGAGGGGCUCCUACAGCCCAAGCGCUAUAUCGAUGCGGCGUGCAACCCGAUCCAACAUAUCGAUGCGUCGUUCGGCCCGAUCCACAUACAUACAUACAUACAUACAUACAUACAUACAUACAUACAUACAUACAUAUAUAUAUAUACAUAUAUAUAUAUAUAUAUAUAUUGUUACGGCGUGUAGCCCGAUCCAUAGAUAUAUAAUCCUCACAACCAGGCCCUCGGCCUCUCUCAGUCAUUAACCUCACAAUCAGACCCUAGGUCUAUCUCAGUCAUCAACCUCACAAUUAGACCCUCGGUCUAUCUCAGCCAUCAACCUCACGAUCACUCGGACCAUCAGUAAAACAGGGAACUCAGCCCAAACAAUUUUCACAUUUUAAGAAUUUAAGUGAUAAAAACCAGGUUUAGACAAUAAAACAGGUAAAUCAUGACUGAGGAUAUGCUUUCGGAACAAAUAGAGUGAGAAACAAUAGUAAAAAUGCCCCUAAGGAUCUCAACAGGGCACAAGGCCUCAAACAUGACAUACAAUCCAAAAUAUAAUAUCAAUCUCUAAAACAUGGAAUAUCAUAAGAUUUCAAAUUAAAUACACACUUAACAGUUGUACGGUACAAACCAAGUCUCAAUCCCCAACGGUGCACGAUUCCACGUUCGUCAUCUAGCGUGUGUGUCACCUCAAAGUAGCAUAACGAUAUGAAAUCAAGGGUUCCAAACCCUCAGAACAGCAUUUACAAUCAUUGCUUACCUCGAUCCGGUCCAAACUCUAGCUCGUGAUGUCUUUCCCCUCAUGAAUCGACCUUUGGAUGCUCCAAAUCUAGCCACAAUCAGUACAUAACUAUUAAAAUAUGCUAAGGGAACAAAGCCCACUCAAAAAUAUCCAAUUUACAUAAAAAAAAUCCCGAAAUUGCUCAAUCCCCUCCCCCCACCCCUCGGGCCCAUGUCUCAGAAUCCGAUAAAAAUUACAUCAAUAAAAUCCAGUCACGAGUCUACCCAUGUCAAAUUCGUCAAAAUCCGAUCUCAAUUGCCCAUUCAAAUCCCCAAAAGAAAUCUCAAACUUUUCUUCCAUUUUUCCCUAAUUUUCACUCUAAUUUCUCAAUUAAAUGAUAAAAUUCAAGACCAAAUCAUGGAAUUAAACCAAAUAUGAGUGAAAAAUACUUACCCCAAUAGCUCCACUGAAAAUCUUCUCAAAUUCCACCUUCUCCCGAGCUCUCCAAUGGUUUUUAUGAAAUUGGACGUAAACCCUCAAUUUAAAAAUAUAAACUGUCUACCCAGACAUUUCUUCAUCGCGAACGCGACAUAUCCCUCGCGUUCGCGAAGCACACUGCUUCACUGACCAGAAUCUCUUCUAUGCGAACGCGAGAAAGCUCUCGCAAACGCGAUGCACAACACACUCAACAUCUCGCGAUCGCGACCCCAACUACGUGAAUGCGUAGAACAAAUGCACCGAGGACCCAGCUAUCCUUCCUCCUCUAUGCGAACGCGACCUGAACCUCGCGAACGCGAUGACCAAAGACCUCACACCUUCGUGAUCGUGGAACCAUCUUCGCAAACGCGAAGGCAAACUCCACAGCCUCGCACCUUAACCCUUCACGAACGCGUGACAUGCAUCGCGAAUGCGAAGGUCAAAAACCUGCAACACCAACAGCAGCAAUUCUGUAAUUUCACAGCAUGAAAUAGUUCGAUUGACCACCCGAAACUCACCUGAGGCCCUCGGGACCUCAACCAAACAUUCCAACAUAUCCCAUAACAUCAUUCAAACUUGUUCCAACCUUCAGAACGCUCAAAACAACCUUAAAACACCAAAUUUGCAUCGAAUUCAAGCUUAAGAAUUUCAAGAACUUCUAAAUUACGCUUUUGAUCAAAAACCCAACCAAACCACGUCCGAAUGGCCUGAAAUUUUGCACACACGUCACAAAUGACACAACGAAGAUAGUGCAACUUCCGGAAUUCCAUUACAAUCCUUAUAUCAAAAUCUCACCUAUCAACAAGAAAACGCCAAAAUCUCAAUUUCGCCAAUUCAAGCCUAAACUUUCCACGGACUUCUAAAAUGCAUUCCGAUGACGCUUCUAAGUCUUAAAUCACCUAACGGAGCUAACUAAAUCAUAAAAAUUCUGAUCCGAGAUCAUACACUAACAAGUCAAAACUUAGUCAAACCUUUCAAUUUUUUUUAAGCUUCAAACUGAGAAUUGUUCUUCCAAAUUUAUUCCGAUUAUCCUAAAAACCAAAAUCAACGAUUUACAUAAGUCAUAACACAUCAUACGGGGCAAGUCAUGCCCGAGAACUGACGAGCAAGGUGCAAAAGCUCAAAACGACCGGUCGGGUCAUUACACCUAUAUUGUAGUAUAAAACUAGAUAGUUAUUUAUAAAAAAGAAAAUAUGCAAAGAAUUUAUUUAUUUACUAGGGAUAUAACUUUAUUUUUCCCUUUCUUGGAUUAUUUCAAACUUGCAUUAAUAUAAUAACAUAUUUUAAUUAAGUAUUUUAUUUGAAGGACAUUUUUGUCUUUAACUAAGCUAAUGCAUGCAUUAAAACUUAUUCCAUUGUUAAUACUGUGGUUUCUUAUGCAUUAGUUAUGCAUAGGAUAAUAUCAAAUAAGGUGUAUAAUCAAUGCUUGCAUAACUAAUGCAUAGGUUCAAAAAGUAUACCAAACAAGGUAUUGUGAGUAUACAAAGCUAAUGGAUGCAUUAUUUUAUUUAAUGCAUCCUACCAAACGACCCCUUAUUGUGGAUCAAAACUGCUUUCAAAUUCAUUUAGCCAAACAUAAGCGAUUACUAUACUUCCGAUUAAAAAUACUUUUCAAAAUAAGUAGAUUUUGAAAGUUUGCAAACUAUUUACUAUUCAAAAAUAGUUUUCUUCUAAACACUUAGAGCAUGUUUGGAAAGCCACCUAGGAAUUGGAUUUGGGUGUAAUUACAUAGUUUGAAAUGUUUGUUUGGCCAAGUAAUUACUUGAUCAUCAUGGAAUUGGGUGUAAUUAGAGAGGUGUAAUAUACUCUCUAAUUUUCGGGAGGUGGGAUUUAGUAGUAAUUAUACUGUGUAAUUAUAGGUUGCUUUUAAGUUUCUUUUCUUUUUGUUUUUAUUUUAAUUUAUUUUCUUUAUAACUUUUUAUUUCUAUUCUUUUAAUUUGUUAACUUUGUUUUUAUUUUUAUUGCUUUUGAAAUUUUAAAAAAUAUUUUUUUGUACAUUAUUUAUCUUUUAUUUUAUUAUGUUGGAAUUUGACAUAUGUUAAACUCUUUUUUUUGUAUUUUGAAAUUGUGUUAUAUUAAUAUGUUAAAUUGCGUUAUAUUAAUAUUUUGAAAUUUGCAUAUGUUAAAUUGUGUUAUGACAUUAUAUCUAUAAAUAUUAAUAUAUUUUUUCAAACAUUCAGUCCAUGAUGUUCUUACUAAAUAAUAUUUUUAGUUUUAUAAUUAAUUAAACUAAAUAUUAUUAAUUUGAAAAACAUAUAUAAAUUAUUUUACAAUAUUAAUUAUAAAUAUAUGAUUACUAAUUAAUGUGUAUUCAAGAAAAAAUAUGCAUCUUAAUAAUCUAAUACCAUUUAUACUUAUAAAAAAUUAUUUAUAGGAUUUAUUAUAUUAACUUUUAAGUUUUGAUAAUUACUUCAUUUAAAAUUUAAUCUAAUUGUGUAAUUACACUUGUCCAAUCAAACAGUACACUUGUAAUUCCACUAUAUUUAUAUUAUGACAAACAAACAGGCCAUCAUAAUUACUAAAUUGUGUACUUACUAGCUGUGUAAUUACUACUCUAGUAAUUACAUCAAUUUCAAUUACCGACUGGCUUUCAAAACAGACCCUUAGGCAAACUUCCCAACUAAUAGCAUGUUUGUGUGUAUUUCAGGUUGGGUCGGUGGCUAUUGGUGACGACGAACGGGACGCGCAUGUUCAAAUAAUGGAGAUAGCCCAAGAGAGUGUCAUCAAGGGGCGAUGAGAGUUGGACAUGAACGUGCCAGGUGGCCGCAACACUGUCGUGUACACCAAGACAAUUCUCAAGUUCUACUCGCGGGAGUUGGUACCUCCGAUUUUCCUGUUUCCCUUUGUUGUGUUUAAAUUAUUUCCAUCUUAUUUCGUAUUAGUUUAAUCAUCAUAUUAGCGUGUCUGUAGUUGCAACUUGUCUUUUUCUAGUUUGGUUUGUUGCCUAGUGUGUGUUAGUGAGUUCCCUUAGUUUGUCGUAGGUUUAGUGGUUGCAGUUUGGGAUGGUCGAGUGAUUUCAUGUCCUCGGAGGGAGGGGGUGGGCGGGAGGUGGGGCAGGGGUUAGGGAGUGGUUCGGAAGGCAAGGGAAGUAAGGGCAAUAAAGGUGCCUAUAGGUUAAGAAUUGGGUCGUGGAUUGUAGGAACAUUGACGGGUAAGUCUAUAGAAUUGGCAAAGAUCCUCCGGAAGAGGGGGGUCAAUAUAGUGUGUGUCCAAGAGACUAGGUGGGUAACUACAAAAUCUCAUUUUACCUGCUAUCUUUGUGAUUUUUGACUUGGCUAAUAGUUUCUCUACAAUAUGUUUUUGAUAUUCUAUUUGGUUUAGCCGAUAAACCGUAAGUUAACUGUCCGAUAAUUAUUAAUCCAAUACCAAUAUGCCCGUUGUCUUAUUAGAUGGCUAGCGAAUUACUGUAUUUAUAAUUCGAUAACCAAUAAGCCGAACCGUUAAGCGUAAUUAUCCGCCUAAUCUGCCCGAUAAGCACCCCUAGACUCAAAGCAUUUUUCGGUUGUUAUGGGGUUACACCAAGGUUUUGUGCUCUGUACGUUCUUAUUUGACCUAGUGAUGGACGCACUAACAUACCCAUAUUCAAGGGGAGGUGACAUGGUGUAUGUUAUUCGCUGACGACAUUGUUCUGAUAGAUGAGUCGCGAACCGGUACUACUAAGAGGCUGGAAGUUUGGAGAUAAACCCUUGAGUCUAAGAGUUUCAAGCUGAUCAUGACUAAGAUGGAAUACUUGGAAUACAAGUUCACCGCUGCGCCGAGGGUAGUGGUGCAUGGAUGUGAGGCUUGAAUCAAAGGUCAUCUCGACUAGAGGCAGUUUCAAGUACCUUGGGUCGGUUAUCCAUGGGGAAGAAGAGAUCGACGAGGAUGUCACACACCGUAUUGGGGGUGGGGUAGAUGAAGUGAAGUUUAGCAUCUGGAGUCCUGUGUGACAAAGGAGUGCCUUUGAUACUCAAAGGUAAGUUUCAUAAAGCGGUAGUUAGACCGGUCAUGAUGUAUUACCUGUUAAGAACUCAUAUAUUUAGAAGAAAAAAGUAGUAGAAAUGAGAAUGUUGAUGUAUAUAUACGGACACACUAGGAUGGAUAGGAUUAGGAAUGGUGAUAUUCGGGAGAAGGUAGGUGUAGCUCCCAUUGAUGACAAGAUACGGGAAGCGAGGCUCACAUAGUUCGGGCACGUAUAGGGGAGAAGCCCAGAUGCUCCGGUAAAGAGGUGGGAACGAUUGGCUUUGGAGGGCACGAGAAGAAGUAGAGGGUGGCCUAAGAAAUAUUGAGGAGAGGUGAUCAGACGGGACAUGGUGAGGCUUCAGAUUUCCGAGGACAUGACCCUUGAUAGGAAGCUGUAGAGGUCGAGUAUUAGGGUUAUAGGCUAGGAGGUAGUUGAGUCUUUCUUACUUCGUACCUUUCCGAGGCUAGUUUGAUAGGAUUUUUAUCUGAGACUGCUAGUGGUUAAUAUUGUGUCUUACUACUCUUUCAUUUUUCAUAGUGUCGGGUCUAUUUAAUGGCUAUCUCUUUUGCUUUGCAUCUAUUUUUUGGUUUUCAUGAUGAUGUUAUUUUUCCUAUGGUAUCUGUUGGUGGUAUUUAUAUUGUCUUUUUUUGUCUUUUUGAACCGAUGGUCUUUUGAAAAUAAUCUCUCUACAUCAUCGGGGUAAGGGUAUGUCACACCCCGAACCAUGGUCUGGGCGUAACACGAUACUCGGUGCCUAACUGCAUGUGACUGAGUGAACCAACUGCAUGGAUUGAUCAACACGUGGUAUAACUAUAAGAUAGAGGUAAAUAUAAAACAUGGUAAUCUACUAAGGAGUCUGACUGAAAUACCAUAGAUGCGAAAAAUACUGAAAGGUCUGCCAGUAUAAACAAGUAGCCGACAAGGCUAACACAAGAAAGCCUGCUAAUAUCUGACUGACUGGGUUGUAUUCUACGAAGCCUCUAAAGAUAUACUGAAAAUACUAAUUGUUUACCGAGACAAGGUCCCCGGUAUACCUUAUUAACUGAAAUACUAUAAUGACAAAAACAAAAGAGAGAUAAGGCCCCGGAAGACUGGGGCUCACCAAUAGCUGAUAAGAUGUCCUAGCAAGCAGAAUCGUCAACCUGAAAAUCGUUACCUGCAUCGCGAGAUACAUGCCCCGGGCAAAAGGGACGUCGGUACAUUUGAAUUGUACUGGUAUGUAAAAUAGCUGAACAAAAGAACUCUAAAUACUGAAACUGAACUGCUGGAUGAUAAACUGAUAACUGAACAAGGAAGUAAGGAUGUGAAUACUUCCUCUUCUGAAUGAUGAACAACAUGUUUAACUGAAUAUUAAACUGCGGCCUCAGACCCAAUAUGUAUAUAUAUAUAUAUAUAUAUAUAUAUAUAUAUUCACAACUGUCGGUCCGGGCCCAUGUAUACGUAUACAUAACUGCGACCUCAGGUCCAAAAUGCAUAAAGCAUAAACUGCGGUCUCAGGCCCAAAUACAGGUGUUCAACAUUCAAGAAUAUAAAAUCAGGAACUGAGAAUCAUAUUACAAUACAUGAUACUGAAAUAAUGAGCCAUACCAAGUUACAUGAUACUGGAUUAGUGAUAGGAUUAGACUGAGAUGAGUAUUCAUAAUAAGUUGAUUUAUCAUAACUGAAACUCAUAGAAUAUCGAAUGAUUAUGAGACUAUGCCAUCUAGAGAAUAGAAAUUCUACUACUAUUCAGGGAGCUGAGGCAUAGUUAUUUUCUGAGGAAUCUGGUAAUGGUCAUAAUGAAUGGGACGUAAGGAGAAUCAUGGACAUUCCCAAACGUAAAGAGUUAGCCUUACAUACCUUAACUUCCUGCCUUUGAGCGUAAUACAAUGUUUGUCAACCCUUUCAACUUUAAUCUAUAGCAAUACAAGUCAAAGGGAUUCCAUAUUAGCUAUGAUGUUUAUGUUUUGGUCACUUACGCAUUUUAUCAAACACUUGGUCAAAAUAAAGCUUCAUAGUCCUUAUUAAUGGUGUCUCUACACCCAACAACCCAUUCUCUUGUUCCUAGAUAAAUUUUAAAGUCUCAAAUGAUUAUAUCAACAUUAUUCUUCAUCACCUAUAAUGUAAACAACACUCUUAUCCAAUAAUCAACACUCAACACCCCAAUCCUAUAAUCGUUCAUACUUUUCUAUCAAACCCACCAACUUAUAUCUCAUGAACUAGGGUUUAUAAUCAUUAAACAAAUGCUAGAAUCAAUUAGAGGGUGAAGACAUUACCUUUUUGAAGUUCAAACCCUUUGAAUUCGAGUUCUAGGCUUCCUUCUCUCAACAAUAAUGUCUCAAUUGAAUAUCAAAUGAUAUGGAGGGUUUAUCCAUGUUAAUAAGAUGUUGGAAAAUUGAAAUUAACUUAGAAUCACCAUUAGAACUUACCUUGGGUGGUGGAAGGACCCUUAAGGAGUUAGGUUUUUGAGAGUUCCUCUUUUUAGAGCAAGUUUUUAUGUUUUGGGGCUGUGGGGGACAAAAUAUAGCUUUAAAACGACCCCCCACUAGAGCUCCCGUGCAUCUGGAGGCCUGCCCGCGCUACUGACCGCUCUAAACGGCAGUAACACUUCCUCAAAAUUAGCGCGUCCCCGCUAAGGGCGUGCUACCGGCGCACAUAUCGUAUACUGUUCUGUAAAAUGCGCAUAACCUUUUGCACAGAGAUCUGUUCGGGUUCUAUAAUAUAUAGUUGGGAAGCUAUUUCAAAGACCUACAACUUUCAUGCUUUGAGUUUUCCCAAAUUCCUUACUUAUUUUCACUAAAAUCUGCUGGAAUACGAACCUUCUGCAAACUUAGUCAAUUUUGUCAAAUCUUAUGCACCUCACUUUCCAUCUUGAUUUUGAAAUAACUAUUUUCACCCAUAAUCAUCCCGGUGGGACUUUACAUGUUCAAGGUAUAAGCUUACCAGUCAUUUAACACAUUCACACCUAAGCCGAAUUUACGGGGUGUUACAUUAUCUCCCCCUUGGAAUCAUUCGUCCUCGAAUGAUGGUCCUGGCUGCAACUACGGCUAUCUAUGGACAUUAAACAGGUGUGAUGGGGAUAUGAGGAUACUGAAAUAUCAUGAAUACAUGUAUAUCAAACUGAACGAGCACGUGAGCACUAAAUACUAAGCUGAGUGAAUACUAAAAGACAUGGAGAUUAUAAUAGAAGGCCUGAAUGAAAAGGUUAAUUACCUUCUAUAUUUUCCUUUUGCUCUUUAAAGAGAUGGGGAUAUCUUGACUUCAUGUCCUCCUCGGCUUCCCAUGUAGCCUCUUCAACCUUUUGGCUCCUCCAAAGCACUUUUACUAAAGCAAUUUCCUUAGUUCUGAGCUUGUGGAUUUGUCGAUCAAGAAUAGCCACUAGAAUUUCCUCAUAAGACAGACUGUUUUUAACCCCUAUAAUCUUCGUAGGAACCAUAAGUGACGGGUCUCCCAUGAAUUUCUUCAACAUGGACACAUGAAACACUGGUGUACAGUAGUUAGUUCUUGUGGCAAUUCUAACUCAUAAGCCACCUGUCCGAUCCUUUGAAAAAUUCUAUAUGGACCAAUAUAGCGGGGACUAAGCUUCCCCUUCUUCCCAUAACGCCUUUCAUGGGCGAUACUUUCAGAAACACCCAAUCAUCAACUUGAAACUCUAAGUCUCUACGCCGUACGUCCGAAUAGGACUUUUGGCGACUUUGAGCCGUCUUCAAAUGCCUUUGUAUCAAGUUGACUUUCUCCAUAGCCUGAUAGACCAAAUCGGGUCCUAACAACUCCGCUUCUCCGACUUCGAACCAACCAAUUGGUGAUCUACACCUUCGACCAUACAGAGCUUUGUACGGUGCCAUCUUGAUACUAGAGUGAUAGCUGUUAUUGUAAGCAAACUCAAUGAGAGGUAGAUGAUCGUCCCAAUUACCUUUAAAAUCAAUAAUACAUGCCCUCAACAUAUCCUCCAGAGUUUGAAUGGUGUGUUCUGCCUGUCCAUCUGUUUGAGGAUGAAAAGCGGUGCUGAGGUUCACCCUUGUGCCCAAUCCCUUCUGAAAGGAUUUCCAAAAGUUUGCUGUGAACUGAGCACCAUGAUCUGAGAUAAUGGACAAAGGAGUCCCAUGCAAUCAGACAAUUUUCUUUAAUAUACAACUUGGCAUAAUCCUCGGUCGAAUAUGUAUUCUUCACUGGCAAGAAGUGAGCUGAAUUGGUAAGUAGGUCUACAAUCACCCAAAUCGAAUCGCGCUUCCGUAACGAGCGAGGUAGACCUGUUAUGAAGUCCAUGUUUAUCAUCUCCCAUUUCUAAAUGGGAAUUUCUAUAUUCUGAGUUAAAUCGCCAGGCCUCUGGUGUUCGACUUUCACCUGUUGGCAAUUUGGACACCUAGCCACGAAAUCUGCUAUACUCUUUUUCAUAUCAUUCCACCAAUAAACCUCAUUAAAAUCGUGAUACAUCUUAGAGGAACCUGGGUGAAUAGAAUACCUGGAAUUUUGGGCUUCUGACAUAAUCCGCUCUCUGAGCCCAUCUACGUUUGGAACGUAUAGUAUCUCAAAGUACCAUCAUCUCCCCGUUGUUCAAAAGCCAUAGUCUUGUGUUUGUGAAUUCCUUCCUAAAGCUGCAAUAAGNNNNNNNNNNNNNNNNNNNNNNNNNUCGGAGUCCAAAAGUCGAACACCUAGAUUUUCUAAGCGGUGGACUUCCUUCAUCAUAGUUUGCUUGUCUGCCUCAACAUGAGCUAAGCUGCCCAUAGAACGCCGACUGAGAGCAUCGGCUACAACAUUUGCUUUCCCCGAAUGAUAGAUGAUAUAACAUCAUAAUCUUUAAGUAAUUCGAGCCACCUUCUCUGACGUAGAUUUAAUUCUCUUUGCUUGAAGAUGUACUGGAGACUCUUGUGAUCUGUAAAAAUGUCAACAUGUACCCCAUACAGAUAAUGGCGCCAGUCUUAAGCGCGAACACCACAGCUGCUAAUUCAAGGUCAUGAAUCGGAUAAUUCUUCUCGUGAGCCUUGAGCUGUCUCGACGCGUAGGCUAUGACUUUACCGUGCUGCAUUAAUACACACCCAAGACCAACCCCUGAGGCAUCAUAAUAAACAACGAACCCUUCGGUUCCUUCUGGUAGUGUCAGGACUGGAGCUGAAGUCAGCCUUUUCUUUAACUCCUCAAAACUUUUCUUGCACGCGUCUGACCAUUGAAACUUGACUUUCUUCUGAGUUAAUCUAGUUAAAGGGGACGAUAUAGAAGAAAAUCCCUAUACGAAACGCCUAUAAUAGCCCGCUAGACCCAAGAAACUUCUUAUAUUGGAUACUGAGGUGGGUCAAGGCCAAUUCUUCAUUGCCUCUAUUUUCUGAGAGUCCACCUUCACGCCUUCCCCUGAGAUGACAUGGCCCAAAAACGCUACUGAUUUCAACCAGAAUUCACACUUAGAAAAUUUUGCAUAUAGCUUGUGAUCCUGCAGUAUCUGCAACACAAUUAUAAGAUGUUCUACAUGGUCAGUCUCGCUACGGGAAUAAAUCAAGAUGUCAUCAAUAAACACAAUAACAAACAAAUCAAGAUAAGGCUUGAAGACCCUAUUCAUAAGGUCCAUGAAAGCUGCUGGUGCAUUCGUUAAACCAAAUGACAUUACCAGGAAUUCGAAAUGCCCAUAUCGAGUCCUAAAAGCUGUUUUUGGAAUAUCAACUUCCUUAACCUUCAACUGAUGGUAUCCCGAUCUGAGGUUAAUCUUGGAAUAACACUGGGCACCCUGAAGUUGAUCAAAUAAAUCAUCUAUUCCGGGAAGAGGGUACUUGUUAUUGAUGGUGACUUUAUUCAACCGGCGAUAGUCAAUGCACAUACGCAAAGUCACAUCCUUCUUUCGGACAAACAAGACCAGUGCGCCCCAAGGUGAGACACUUGGCCUUAUAAAUCCCUUAUCUAGAAGAUCUUUCAACUGGACUUUUAACUCUUUUAACUCUGCUGGAGCCAUUCUAUAAGGCGGAAUAGAUAUCGGCUUAGUGCAUGGAAGUAGAUCAAUUCCAAAGUCAAUCUCCAUAUGGGGAGGGACUCCAGGGAGAUCUUCGGGAAACACUUCUGGAAACUCAUUUACAAUUGGUACCGACUGGAGAGUGGGGAUCUGAGCGUCUGCAUCCUUAACUCGAACUAGGUGAUAGAUAUAUCCCUUGGAGAUCAUCUUUCUAGCUUUAAGAUAGGAAAUAAACCUACCCUUAGGUGCUACUACAUCACCCUUCCAUUCUAAGACUGGUUUACCGGGAAAUUCAAAACUUACUAUUUUGGUUCUACAACCCACUUUGGCAUAACAUGACUCUAACCAAUCCAUGCACAUGAUCACAUCAAAGUCUAAUAUCUCCAAUUCUACUAAGUCUGCUACAGUAAGACGAUGAUGCACUUUGACUGGACAUCCCCUAUAGAUAUACCUUGCUAUAACUGAUUCUCCAACUGGAGUGGAUACUUCAAAGGGUUCACCCAACUUUUCUGGUUCUAUCCCAAAUUUCUUUGCAAUAUAUGGGGUUAUAUAAGAUAGGGUGGAUCCCGGAUCUAUAAGAGCAUAGACAUCAAAACUGAAUAUAUUUAGCAUACCUAUGACAACAUCUCCAUGAGCCUCUGUAUCCUGACGGUCUGCCAGUGCAUACAAGCAGUUUCGACCACCGCCUGCAGUAUUAAACUUUACUGCACCGUGCCCUUGUUGGGCAUGAGAGUUAUUAUGGGCUACUGAAUUAGUGGACUAAGCUACAUUUCCUCCAUUGUUCUGCUUUGCCGAUGGACAAUCCCUCAAAAAGUGGCCUUGCUGACCGCACCCAAAGCAACCAUUUGUGCCCAAAUGACACAACCCUGGGUGCCUCUUACCACACGUGUUGCAAAUAGGGUAACUAGGGACUCUGUAACCCACACUAGCCUGUGACUGUGAGUCUGCUGUUCUGAAAUUCUGGUUUUUCUUGUUAAACUUUGACCUCUGAACCGGUGCACUAGCUGAAGAUGGAGCAGGUCCUAAUUUUGAUUUCUUGAAAAACUAGCGAUUGCCUCCUACUUGAGAUCCCCCAUGGUUGAAAUUUCCUGCAGACUUAGCUCUCUUGUUGAAUUCCCUCUCCUUCUCUCUCCGUAGACGUUCUUCUUCC